rnacentral:rRNA from 1 species
UACAGAGGGUGCAAACGUUACUCGGAAUCACUGGGCGUAAAGCGUGCGUAGGCGGUUCGUUAAGUCUGUUGUGAAAGCCCUGGGCUCAACCUGGGAACUGCAGUGGAUACUGGCGAGCUAGAGUACGGUAGAGGAAGGUGGAAUUCCCGGUGUAGCGGUGAAAUGCGUAGAGAUCGGGAGGAACACCAGUGGCGAAGGCGGCCUUCUGGACCAGUACUGACGCUGAGGCACGAAAGCGUGGGGAGCAAACAGG